rnacentral:rRNA from 1 species
GACGAACGCUGGCGGCGUGCCUAAUACAUGCAAGUAGAACGCUGAAGGAGGAGCUUGCUUCUCCGGAUGAGUUGCGAACGGGUGAGUAACGCGUAGGUAACCUGCCUGGUAGCGGGGGAUAACUAUUGGAAACGAUAGCUAAUACCGCAUAAGAGUAGAUGUUGCAUGACAUUUGCUUAAAAGGUGCAAUUGCAUCACUACCAGAUGGACCUGCGUUGUAUUAGCUAGUUGGUGAGGUAACGGCUCACCAAGGCGACGAUACAUAGCCGACCUGAGAGGGUGAUCGGCCACACUGGGACUGAGACACGGCCCAGAAUCCUACGGGAGGCAGCAGUAGGGAAUCUUCGGCAAUGGACGGAAGUCUGACCGAGCAACGCCGCGUGAGUGAAGAAGGUUUUCGGAUCGUAAAGCUCUGUUGUAAGAGAAGAACGAGAGUGAGAGUGGAAAGUUCACACUGUGACGGUAUCUUACCAGAAAGGGACGGCUAACUACGUG